UACAGAGGGUGCAAGCGUUGUUCGGAAUUACUGGGCGUAAAGCGCGCGCAGGCGGAUCCUGCAAGUCCGGAGUGAAAUCUCACUGCUCAACGGUGAGGCUGCUUUGGAUACUGUGGAUCUGGAGACCGGUAGAGGCUGGUAGAAUUGCAGGUGUAGCGGUGGAAUGCGUAGAGAUCUGCAAGAAUACCCGUGGCGAAGGCGGCCAGCUGGGCCGGUUCUGACGCUGAGGCGCGAAAGCGUGGGGAGCAAACAGG
rnacentral:rRNA from 1 species